AGAUUGAACGCUGGCGGCAUGCCUUACACAUGCAAGUCGAACGGCAGCACGGGAGCAAUCCUGGUGGCGAGUGGCGAACGGGUGAGUAAUACAUCGGAACGUGCCCAAUCGUGGGGGAUAACGCAGCGAAAGCUGUGCUAAUACCGCAUAAGAUCUACGGAUGAAAGCAGGGGAUCGCAAGACCUUGCGCGAAUGGAGCGGCCGAUGGCAGAUUAGGUAGUUGGUGAGGUAAAGGCUCACCAAGCCUUCGAUCUGUAGCUGGUCUGAGAGGACGACCAGCCACACUGGGACUGAGACACGGCCCAGACUCCUACGGGAGGCAGCAGUGGGAAUUUUGGACAAUGGGCGAAAGCCUGAUCCAGCCAUGCCGCGUGCAGGAUGAAGGCCUUCGGUUGUAACUGUCUUUGUACGGUAACGUAAAAGUCUUUACUAAUAAAGAAGCUCAUAGACGUACGUAAGAA
rnacentral:rRNA from 1 species